UGUGACAAUAUUUACUACGCCAAAUCAAUAUUGGUAGAACGAUUUACUUAUUUUUACAAAAAGUCUCAAAAUUUAAAAUAUGUUUUAAACACUAAAACAAGAGAGAAUAUGCAGUUUUUUUAAGAUUAUUUUUUUUUACUUAAAUUAUACUGUAUUGAUAAUUGAGAUUUUUUUCAAUCUUAAAUCCUAAAAUAUAAUGUAUUGCUUUCAUAAUAUGUUAUUUUUAAAAAUUGACCCUGAAAAAGUGAAUUA
rnacentral:lncRNA from 1 species